rnacentral:lncRNA from 10 species
GGACUCUGAAGAUUUGUCUCCAUAUUCUCUGGAAAGAUGUACUCUGUUUGCAAUAAGAGGGAGCCACAUGGUUUAUUAGAUGGUUAUUAAUUGAGCAUUCUGUGCAAAGAAGUUUGUGCCUUAGAUUUAGAAUUCCACCCUCAGUUGGAAUACAGAUGAUCCCUAACAAGUCACAUGAAAAAAUGAACUGUGGAGCCAGAAGAGUGAGUUCUUGGAGAACUAAGGGCCAGAGACCUGUGAGCAAGAUUUGAUAAUUUUAUAAAAAUUAAAAGACGAUUUGAAAUGUUAUUGGUCUUACUAAAACUUUUACUUGUGAACUGCAAUUGAUGACAUGAUCACUU